rnacentral:rRNA from 1 species
GAUGAACGCUGACAGAAUGCUUAACACAUGCAAGUCCACUUGAAUUUGGGUUUUUAACUCCGGUUUGGGUGGCGGACGGGUGAGUAACGCGUAAAGAACUUGCCUCACAGCUAGGGACAACAUUUGGAAACGAAUGCUAAUACCUAAUAUUAUGAUAAUAGGGCAUCCUAUAAUUAUGAAAGCUAUAAGCGCUGUGAGAGAGCUUUGCGUCCCAUUAGCUAGUUGGAGAGGUAACGGCUCACCAAGGCGAUGAUGGGUAGCCGGCCUGAGAGGGUGAUCGGCCACAAGGGGACUGAGACACGGCCCUUACUCCUACGGGAGGCAGCAGUGGGGAAUAUUGGACAAUGGACCGAGAGUCUGAUCCAGCAAUUCUGUGUGCACGAUGAAGUUUUUCGGAAUGUAAAGUGCUUUCAGUUGGGAAGAAACAAAUGACGGUACCAACAGAAGAAGUGACGGCUAAAUACGUG